UGGGGAAUAUUGCACAAUGGGCGCAAGCCUGAUGCAGCAACGCCGCGUGAGGGACGACGGCCUUCGGGUUGUAAACCUCUUUUGGCAGGGAAGAAGCGAAAGUGACGGUACCUGCAGAAAAAGCACCGGCUAACUACGUGCCAGCAGCCGCGGUUAUACGUAGGGUGCAAGCGUUGUCCGGAAUUAUUGGGCGUAAAGAGAUCGUAGGCGGUUUGUCGCGUCGUCUGUGAAAACCCGAGGCUCAACCUCGGGCCUGCAGUGGGUACGGGCAAACUAGAGUGCGGUAGGGGAGAUUGGAAUUCCUGGUGUAGCCGUGGAAUGCGCAGAUAUCAGGAGGAACACCGAUGGCGAAGGCAGAUCUCUGGGCCGUAACUGACGCUGAGGAGCGAAAGCAUGGGGAGCGAACA
rnacentral:rRNA from 1 species